GGCCGUUCUUGUCGUAAGCUGCCCAGAUGUUGCUGGCGAUAGCAGCUGUGACUCGAGCGUCGGUGUCCCCGUAGCCAGAGUAGGCCAGGAGGGAGCCUUCAUUAUUCAGCAAGCUGGUGAAAGUGAAGCAGAUCGCUCACACUUCUGCAAGAUGAACGCUGGUGACAAGCGUCUGCUUUUUCACUUCAUUCUUCUGUCUGCCAUGGUUUUGUGCCGUGCCAAAGACUCUUUCUUCAACAACAAUGGAAACCUCAUAAUCCCGGGCUCCUACAAUAUUCCAUGGAUGGCUGGCAUUCAGGAUUUCCGC